rnacentral:lncRNA from 1 species
CCUUUUUUACCACAUGUGUCAAAAACCCACCUCCCUCUUUCCAAGACCCACAAGUUCAAUAAAAGCACCCAAUAUUAAUUUGAGUCUCUCAUGACCUCUGUAAUGGAUGGAUUUACAGGACUUGAUCAAAAUAGUUUGUGCAGUGAGAGUGAGCUUGAAGCUCUUUUUGCAGCAGCAAGUGAUGAGAACAUAGCCCAUGAAGUGAGUUUAAAGAAAGAGGCUAUAGUUGUGGUGGAUGAUGAAGAGGUGCCACAGCCUUUGAAGGGUUUGUAUGAAGAUGGGCCCACUCCAUUUAUCAAGAAAAUAUAUGGGAUGGUGGGAGAUGCAGAGACUGAUGGGAUCAUCUCAUGGAGUGAGUCUGGGAUGAGUUUUGUGAUCAGGGAUCAGUACAAGUUCUGUGUGGAGAUUCUGCCCAAGCACUUCAAGCACGCCAACUUUAGUAGCUUUAUUCGCCAACUCAACACUUAUGUCAGUAUCUUUUUUUCUUUUCUCGUGAUUCUUGUUUACAAUAUUCCAACCUGUUGCCCCGCGGGGUGUCAUAUAGUUGAACAGUGGCGUUUAAGGCUGGCUGUCUUGAGGUCACGAGUUCGAUUUCCUGGACACUCCGGGAGUAUGUGGGCUACAUGCUCGAAGCACGAGUGGUCGAGUGUGCUAGUAUGUCCACCUGGAUUAGUCGAGGUGCACGGAAGCCGAUCCCUACACCGGUUUAAAAAAAGAGAAAAAAUAUUCCAACCUGUUACCGUAGUUUUAGUGAUUUUGAUAAGUGUUUUUGUUUAGUAUUGUCCUUUUGGUAUUGUUUGAUUGUUGUGCAUGUAUUGGGACCCUGAAGAAAAUAAUAAUAAUAGAGAAAUUUAGUAAAAUUAAAAUUUUAUAUAUGACGUUUGAGAUUAAUUUUUUGUGUAAGUUAAGCCCCCAUUUAUGAAUUUCUGAAUAUGCCGCUGGCUAGACUUGUGGGUUUGAUGGGUUUUGGUAUUGUUUCAUUGUUGUGCAUGUAUCAGACUUGUUGGUUUCAUGGGUUUUUGGACUUUCGGUAUGAUAAUUGUAACAUGGAUUGUUAGAGCCGGAGCUAAAAGGAAUUAUCGCUAAUUUUGAGCUAUUUGAAAUUUAAUGUAAACGCCCUCUUGCUUAGGGUCCGAACCUGUGCAAAACAGUUUAGGAGGAGACUAGGAGCAGGGUGUGUACACAUCUUUGAAUAUACUUGGUUUAGUUCGUUUUUAUAGGAAAGUUUUGUUUGGCUGAAGUUUUACUUACUCGGUUUUGUUAAAUGGGCACUAAUACUCUCUAAUGUGGCGUUUUGCCUUGUCUUUUUGUGGAAUUUGUUCUAGACAAGGGUCAUUCUUAUUUAACUACCUCUCUAUAACUUCAAGGAGAUCGUGUAUACUAGACUCUAGUGUUGAAUAUGCAAAAAGUGUGUGUGUGUGUGUGUACGCAUCUCAUGUGCUGCGGCGGGUAUAUUUGGUUUUGUUUGAUUUUGUGAGUUAUUCCUCCUUUCCACUAUUAUAGUGUUUCAGUUGGGACAUUUGUGUUAAGUUAUUUGAAUCAUAUAACGGUUAAAUAGCCCUACACUAAAAAAAAAAAUAGCCAACAAGGUGUUGGUGCGGUGGUUGAGGUCUCGUACCCCCUUGCAGGAGUUCAGGAGUUUGACUCCCCGGUGUGCGUGUGUAGUCAAUUAGCAAAAAAAAAGGUUAUUUGAAUCAUUUUGUAAGGUGUAAUCUACUAUAUAUGGAGCUUUGUUGGAUGUAUUUGGUGUUUUUCUUUAAAACUUCACAGUGCUUGCUGCUCUAUAUAUAACUGUUUUUUUCUUUUGCUAUCUUUGUUAAAGAAUUUCAAGAAACUCAGUCUAGAGAGGUGGGAAUACGCCAAUGAAGGCUUUCAGAAAGGAAAAGAUCAUCUGUUAAAGAAUAUUAAGAGGAAGAAACACCAACCUGAUCAACAAGUCCCACAGGAUGGAAAGAAUUCACAACUUUCACUUUAUCACGAGAAUCUUAAAAAGGAAGCAGAACUUGAAAAGUUGAAGAGCGAUACCGAGAAGUUGAGAACUGAACUUCUAAUUAUCCAAAAGGAACAGGAGAGUGCUGAUAAUUAUCUGUUAUCUGUUAAAGAGAGGCUAAUAAGAACCGAACACAAGCAACAGCAGAUGUUCAUUUGCAUGGCAAGAGCAUUUAAGAACCCGCUAUUCAACGAGAUUCUCAUGCAGCAGCUCAGGGAAAAAGAAGCACUGGAUACUGCAGGAACUUCAAAGAAACAAAAGCUGAUUGCUCCCCAGUGCAACAAAAGUCUAGUUGAGGCAAUCUAUUAUGCUGGGGGAAGCCAAGCUAAAGAUGACUUCACAAUGAUUGAUACAGAAGCUCAGAAAGCAUAUUUUCAUAAUGAAGCAAAAAACCCCGUUGUUCAGAGCCAAAAGGUUAAUGAAGUGUUGGCUACAAAACCUUCAGAUAUUGCUUUGGACAAUUGUUUGCUGGUAGAAAAUCUAUUGGCUGAUGACGUGGUCUCUGAGACUAAAGCAGCAACAGAACAAGCAAAUGUUCAUUCAAAAGUUGUUCUUGAGUUGGAAGAAUUGAUCACAAAGGUAAGUGCCAAUUGGGAGGUAUCUAUGAAGGAGAUGGUUGAGCAAGCGGUUUGUCUGCAAUCACAGUUCUAGUUGGUAAGAUCUUUAAUUCUCACCGUAAGUAAACAAUUAAGUAUCUAUAAUUCCUCCAAAAUUGUGUAUGUGAUACUAAAGCAUAAGUAACUUUUUAAGAUGGAUUAGAAUUUAAAAAUAUUUCAGUCUUCAAGCUUGUUGAUCGCGUCCUAUCUGCCCUUUUUCUCGAUACUUUGUCAAAUGGGAACAACUAAUGUUGAGCAAGUCAUAUGCAGAAAAGUGAAAAACAAGAAGAGGCCUGGAUAAAUCCCAACAUAGAUUCUUAUUAGUUUGUUUGCAUAUACUACAACUUGCAUGACAAUUAGAAGUUAUCAAGAUCAUCUGACAUGUCUUAAUUCAUUGAGACUCCUACAAGAAUUCUCAGUUGAUUCCCAUAAUCAAGUAAAAAUGUAUAAUGAGCGGUUUCCUUGGGAGAGGGAGGGGUAUUUGUGAUGCAAACUAAUCUGAUAAAUCUUUCCUGUCAUUCAUGUGCAGGACAUUGGAGAACUAUCGCAUACAAAGAUCUUAAGAUAGUUUUAUAAUUGUUCUUAGAAGAAAUCACAACUCCCAACAACCCCAGGUUUGAGCUUUAUGCUAUUUCGGCCCUUUUGCCUUCCUGGAGGUUUCGCAUUAUGUAGUAGUUAGAAUAUAGUGUGGUUAUGUACAUAAACUUUGUAAUUUUCUUUUGUGAUUCUCAGUUUUCUAAAGUGUUUUUUAAGGUUCCUUUUGUUCUUUUAUCAUAAAGACCGUUCUCUGGUAGUUAUAAAAUCAUAAUACUUUCAAAUAUUACGACAUUUGCUCUUCAGGAUCAUUGCUUAUUUUCAGCUCCUUGCUAAUAACGCUUUUUAUUACACAUUCAAUGCAACUUUUGAAUCCUAAACUGAAGCUGCCCGCUUGUUAUAUACGCUCACAGAAACCUCAGGCGAUGUAUCCUCCAUUCCUCCAUUUUACGCGCAGACCUGUCUGAGAGGUUGCACGUUUGCCACUGCAGUUGUUGCAAGUCUGCAUAACCUCCCACCCAUGUAUAAACUCUAGACAGGCAAUAUAGCUGUCCUGCAUCUACUAAUUCCACUAUAAUGCAACUCAAUUUAAGAAAGAUGUGAUUAUAAAUAAAUCUCACACUAUAUUAAUGCAGGUAUCAACUGACAACAUUUGUGAUUUAAACUGAAGAGUACAAAGGCUUCUUCCUCCUUAUCAAGAAACAAUAGGCAUUUGGAAGCCAAAAUACAAUCUGUUUAAAUCUUUGAGUAGCAAGAGAAACAGGAACAUCUUUCAAACUAUAGAAAGGCAUACCAUCAAUCUUUCUUGUGACUUCCAGGUGAGCAAACUUUUUCUAGCCCUUUGCCAAGAGGUCCAAGACAGUCAUAAAUAUCGCUUUUCUUCUUGGGUGAGACAUCACUUCUCUUGUCGGGUGACAAUACAGGGCCACCAGAUUCUUUCUUAUGGUGAAUCGUAUCGAUAAGGGCCUCAAACUCUUCCUUUGCACGCUCAAACACGUUAGGACCUUUGAAAUCAUCAAUGGGUGUGUUGGCAUCAAAAUCAUCACUCCUCCCAUGAGUUUCCCUACGGUGCUUAUGUGGAGACUUCAUUCGCUCAGCUCCUUCUUUGUGUUCCUUUCUUACUUCUACUUUUGGUGGCGUCACAUUGUUCUUGCCACCACUUGCAAGGCCACUGGAUUCUUUCUUAGGGUGAAUCGUAUCAAUAAAGGCCUCAAACUCUUCCUUUGCUCGCUCAAAUACGUUGGGACCUUUGAAAUCACCAAUGGGCGUGUUCUCAUCAAAAUCAUCGCUCAUCCCAUGAGUUUCCCUAUGGUGCUUAUAUGGAGACUUCUUUCUGUCCUUUACUUCUCUUUGUUCCCUUGACCCCACACUGUCCUUGCCUGCAGUUAUGCAAUAUGAUUAAUUCAACACACUAUCUAAGCAUGUCAAAGAUAUUUGGAUAGAGAUCAAGAUACAUUAACCAACAACAUAAAAACUACUUUGAAAUUUUUUUAAUUGCAAUAACUAACAGUAAUUAAGAAGUUGAUCCUCCAACGGUGAUAUCUAGUUACACCUGCAAUAGAAAAUAGAUGAUAAAAUUUAUAAUCUUUAGGUGCUUGCCUGAUUGUGUUCUUGAUCAUUCCUCGCCACCAGUGGUGGAGCGAGGAAUUCAACAACCAAAUUCCUAACUCAAAACUGGCUGGACAAAUUUUUCUUUAAACAAAAUAUAUUAAAAAACAAAGUAAAGCAGAAGGAUCUUCCUCAAAUUCAUUAUUAUUAAUUAAAAAGUAAAAAAAAAGUAUGAUUAAUUAUAAUAAAAACAACAAAAUAUGAUAAUGAAAAGAUAAAGCAUACAUUUAUUUAGUCCAAUAAAAUAAAUUGAUAUACAAUAAUAUUAGAAGAAAAUAGUGCAAGUAUGACAUAAAAAAAAUGACAAUUAAAAUCAAUAUAUAACACCAAGUUCUAUGCAUAAAAUGUCCCCUGCCUCUAGGGUGGUCCCACCCUGCUUGAGACCUUGCAUAGUUCUAUCAGUUUUUGAAGAAAGACAGGAAUGUGGCGAUGGACUUGCCCUAAUUGAGGUUUCUAACAUGCAAUUCUCAAGAAAAAAAAAAAAAAAAGAAACAAGUUCUUAUAAAGCUUGGAUUUGAAGCAUUAUGAAAGAAACACAAUGCGCUAAGUUUCUACAAAAACCACUCCCAAUAUUUAUGCUGAAAACAUUAAAUUUCGUCAAAUCAUAUAUAGCCAUAUGCUGCAUUUAUUCUCAGAAUCAUAUACAUCACCAUAAAAAAUCGAAGGAUUUCUCCAGAAACCUGGGAAAGAGNNNNNNNNNNNNNNNNNNNNNNNNNNNNNNNNNNNNNNNNNNNNNNNNNNNNNNNNNNNNNNNNNNNNNNNNNNNNNNNNNNNNNNNNNNNNNNNNNNNNNNNNNNNNNNNNNNNNNNNNNNNNNNNNNNNNNNNNNNNNNNNNNNNNNNNNNNNNNNNNNNNNNNNNNNNNNNNNNNNNNNNNNNNNNNNNNNNNNNNNNNNNNNNNNNNNNNNNNNNNNNNNNNNNNNNNNNNNNNNNNNNNNNNNNNNNNNNNNNNNNNNNCUUUCCAAGACCCACAAGUUCAAUAAAAGCACCCAAUAUUAAUUUGAGUCUCUCAUGACCUCUGUAAUGGAUGGAUUUACAGGACUUGAUCAAAAUAGUUUGUGCAGUGAGAGUGAGCUUGAAGCUCUUUUUGCAGCAGCAAGUGAUGAGAACAUAGCCCAUGAAGUGAGUUUAAAGAAAGAGGCUAUAGUUGUGGUGGAUGAU